UUUCUUGGACAAAUUUUGUUUCUUGUUUAAAGUAGGAAGCAUUUAUAUGUAUGCUUCUUCAUAUAACUUUUUUUUUUUUUUUCUAAACAGGGAGGGUCUCACGAUGUAGUCCAGACUGACCUCCGGCUUACGAAGCUCCUGCCUCCACUUCCGGUGUGUUGCAAUUACAGCAAACAGCUACAACGCCCCUGACUGCUCUCUGUCACAUCUCAGAGCCCUGGAGGCAAGAGAAACCCUAAGAAGGUUUGCCAAGAAGACAGUCUACACCCCUGGGGUGAACACAAGGACACUUCUUGAAGUAGCAGAAAACAAAACCCACAGUUUUAUUCACUGUCCCUUUAAGGAAGCUGGCUUCUAUCCUGUAAGCGUUUAGUUUGCCAUUUAAAAGUUUUAAGUGGAAGAAUCCCAAGAUAAGUUUGGCAGGAGUGAGGAAGACAAAGUGGAUGGAGAGUGGGGUAAGAAAAAAACAGUGCAACCAUUGUGAUUGUCUCAAUGACGACAAAGACCUGAAAUGAGGCCAUUGUCAGAGGCAUACAGAGAAUCAGGCAGAUAUGAAAUGGGCCAGCGAUUGGUCUGUUGUUGGUUGGAUAAGCAUCCAGAAGACUUGGCACCUGGCUUCUAGCCUGGAUAAUGGAGCUGAUGCAGGAAGGGUGAGAAGGAUGUAUACCCCAAGUCUUUUCAUAUGGUGUCAGGGACGUGGGCUCUCUGUCUAGGCUUCAGAUGACCACACCCUCCCACCUCUUCUAGCGCUAACCCAGAGAAUGGAAGAGAAGGAAGAAUAGACUUGGGAUGCAGUUUAGACUUCAAGUCUCAUUUGGAACGUGUUGAAGACCGUGAGAUGUUGAAGUGUGUGUGGGGUGGCCAUAAAGAUGACAUAAGGAGUAUCUGGGGUGGACGGUAAUAGGAGACCAAGACUGGACAAAGAGUUUUAGAAUCAGCAGGAGAGAUGUGCUAAAUCAAAACCCUAGGGAAGGAGAGCCAAGGACAGAAAACUGAAGGGCACUAACCAUCGGUAGCAAAAGAGGAGCUGGCGGCAGCCAGGGGGAAACGGCCACUUAAGAAGUCAGCCGCACAAAGAGUUCUGCGCAGGAACCAGCGAUCUGUGGCGCAGGCUGUGGACAGGCCUCGGAGUCUUCUGGGCCCUCCGGCUAUUAGCAAGUCCAUUAUGAACUUGAGUAGGAAGAAGAGUCAAGUCAUAAAUAUACAGCGAAGGCAGAGAGAUUGGGAGAGGUGGGGUCUGAUGCUUCCGGUAAUCUCUCACACAUUGUCUGCCAUUGCUCUGUCCCAAGAACAUGGAGGUAACAUGAAGGGACUCCUUGCGCUGUAACAUUCAACCCUGGUGCGUCAUGAAAGGAGCUUGCAGCAGGGAUGCUGACGGGAUGUAGAUUCCUAAAGUCCUUUCAUCUGGGGUCAGAGUCUUGUGCUCCAUCAGAACUCCCUGCUCUCAGUCCUGGCUCCGGGUGGCCACGCCCCCAGCUCCUCUCAGCCUUAGCUGUGGUCCCUCUGCUUUGCCAUGCCCGUGAUUCCGUCUGCUCUUUGUGUCUCUACCUCCACAGAUUGUCCUUUGUUCAACUCCCUUUGGUUAUCCCAUCUGGAACAUGACAUCUGUCCACUAGAGCCCUACGUGCUCAGAGGAAACUUGGCUAAGAGGAAGAGAAAGACACACAAAGACCAGGGAAGCUUUGUCCCAGAGUUUAUUUUUCAAGGACUGGGGAGGAUUAGAUCCUUUGACAAACUCAGGAACUUCUAGCACCUGGGUCCUACUUCAAAGGUGUAACCUGAGAAGAAGGAAGAAAGGCCACACUGCUCUUUGCUGGCCCAGCACCCUGUGACAUUAUAAAUGGCCUCACUUCCACUGCUUCAGGGAUCCUAGAACUUGUGUUUCCAGUUUGCCUAAGACGGUCAGUGUGCCAGGUUUGCCCACGGCUGUGUGUUGGCAAGGGUUGGCCUGAGCCCUGGGCGGAUAGAAAAGUAGGCACAGGGGCAGUGGAGGAGAAAGACAAAGACCAGGAUGUCAAAAGGCCCCGGUGCGCCUCAUCACGGUGGGUGGACAAUAGGCAAUGUGGUUGGUGGCAUCAUAAGUCCUGCCAGGCUGUGCACGGCCACGCCUCCCAUCUUAUGGCUAUGCCUCCCAUCUUGCCAGGCUUGACUCUUGUACCGCUCCUAGACCACUGCUUUGAUGGCACUGUUCUGCCUUGCAAACCUGCCCCCCUUCCUUUCUUCCUUUCUUUCUUUCUUUUUGUUGUUUUGGUUUAUUUAUUUAUAUGAGUACAUCUUCAGAUGCAACAGAGCAUCGGAUCCCAUUACAGAUGGUUGUGAGCCACCACACAUGGUUGCUGGGAAUUGAACUCAGGACCUCUGGAAGAGCAGUCAGUGCCCUUAACAGCUGAGCCAUCUCUCCAGCCCUUGUUUUGUUUUUCAAGACAGGAUUUCUCUGUGUAACCCUUGCUGUCCCAGACCAGGCUGGCCUCAGACUCAUAGAGAUCCACCUGUCUCUGCCUCCCAUGUACUGGGAUUUAAGGCAUGAGCCACCAUCACUCCAUCUUCUUCUAAAGUGUACCCAGCCCUGUUCUCCCUUUGAGCCUGAGUUCCAGCCGACAAUUGAGCAGCUUCCUAAGCACUCAGCUGGACACAUUUCUUCUCAUCCUCAGGUUUCAUUCAAACUCUAUUUCCUAGGCAUCACAUUUGAGUACACUGUAGCUGUCCCAACCAGUCACCACAUUUGUGUAUUCUCCAUUACAUUAUUUUGUAAUCUGUGAUCUUUCUGUUUUCUUGUCUCUUCUCUCUGGUUGUCAAAGCCAUCAUUAGACUUCUCCGACCUGGAAAGGAGAGUCCCAACAGCUCUCCCUGCUUCGUCUCCUCCUAUAGACUUUUCAUUGUGACUGAAGGGUUACUCCCAAAACACAGACCUGAUUGCAAGACCUCCUUGCUUAAAAAUUUUUUGUGGUCUUUAGUAUUUCUCAGAUAAAGUUUUUGGGGUUUUUUUUUUUGUUUGUUUGUUUGUUUGUUUCGUUUUUGGGUUUUUUUGUUUGUUUGUUUGUUUUGUUUUUAAAAAGAGGUGAUUUGACAAGACCUCCUCAACCUAACAAUAGGCAAAUCUAUCCCAACUAAAUAGUGUAACAUCUGGAAAAAGACUCAGUGUAGUCGGUUUGUGUUAGUCCAAUGAAACACCAAAGCAGGCCAGUUUUAUAAAGAAAGGAUUUUUUUUUUAGCUCAGGUUCUUUAAGGCUUACAAUUCAAAGAGCAUGGCACAGGUUCUGGUGAGCGACCCCUGGCUAUGUCACCUCGUGGCAGAUGCAGUGUUGAGAGCUUGUGGAGACCAAGAGAACAUAUCUCCAAGUGCCAGGCUGGAGACUGCGGUCCCACAACUCCCUUUAUGGCAUUGCUUCCAACUGGCUUAAAGAUCUCUCUACCUUUUAAAGGUUCCACCAUCUUCCAAUAUCACCACCCAGGGAGCCAAGCGUCCACAAUGGACCUCGGGAAAACACAUUUAAAUCAUGUCUAAGCCACAGAACAUGGGUGGCCCUCACUGGCUAGUCUAGUAGUUUUCUAUAUCUGCUGUAAUAAAUUAUCACAAACU
rnacentral:lncRNA from 1 species